UACGAGGGGGGCAAGCGUUGUUCGGAUUUAUUGGGCGUAAAGGGUGCGUAGGCGGUUUGGCAAGUCUUGUGUGAAAUCUUUGGGCUCAACCCAAAGCCUGCACGAGAAACUGCCGGGCUUGAGUAUGGGAGAGGUGAGUGGAAUUUCCGGUGUAGCGGUGAAAUGCGUAGAUAUCGGGAGGAACACCUGUGGCGAAAGCGGCGCACUGGACCACAACUGACGCUGAGGCGCGAAAGCUAGGGGAGCAAACAGG
rnacentral:rRNA from 1 species